UACGUAGGGUGCAAGCGUUGUCCGGAAUUAUUGGGCGUAAAGAGCUCGUAGGCGGUCUGUCGCGUCUGCUGUGAAAACUCAGGGCUUAACCCUGAGCUUGCAGUGGGUACGGGCAGACUAGAGUGCGGUAGGGGAGACUGGAAUUCCUGGUGUAGCGGUGAAAUGCGCAGAUAUCAGGAAGAACACCAAUGGCGAAGGCAGCUCUCUGGGACGGUACUGACGCUGAGACGCGAAAGCGUGGGGAGCGAACAGG
rnacentral:rRNA from 1 species